CUUCAUCCAUGCUUGAUUUUUGUAAACACUGUGGAUGUAAAAACGAUCAUUCGAUGUGAUUUAACGUCUCUGAAGUCGUCCAAUGAUAGUGUGCGGUCACUCACCCUGUAAAAGAUGCAUACCAGCAGUACACAGAAGAAAGAAAGCCUACACAUUGUUUGUGAAGGAGUUAAAAGAAAUUGACAAGCCACCGUGAUGUUAGAAUUUAAGUCAAAAGUCGGAAAGCGCUGCCUCUCUGGAACAUACUUGUGAACUUAUGAUCACUGUCCUUUCUGUAGGUAUAUACAUACUUUUUUUGCGAAGGAGUAAUAAGGAAUUGACAAACCACGUGUUGUGAAGUAGAGUCGAAAAGCGCCUUUCUGAAACAAAGUUGUGAGUGAUACCAAUUUUCUUUCUGUUUUAUUUGUAUACACAUUAUUUUGUUGUGAAUGAGUAAAGGAAUUGAAAUACCAUGGUGUUGUUAAAAUAUGUGCCAAUAGUCAGAAAGAGCUGACUCGCUUUUCUUUCUUUCUGUGAACGAGUAAAAAGGGAUUGACAAACCACAUGUUGUUAGAGUGAGUCAAUAAUCGGGAAGAUGGUAUAAAUACACCGCUUGGAUUACACAAAAUUAAUUUUGGUUUCACCUGUAUUCAGUACUUUACCGAGCUUUGUAAAAACACAAAAACUAAUCACAGGCAUACUCGGGUUGGAUUCGGACCCACUACCUUUGCAAUUUAGAGCGGUUGAAAGGAUAAUUAAAAUGGCCGGAAAUUGGGACUUGGAGAAAUUGAAAACAAAAGACAAUAUCCGAGGUUUAGAAUAGCAAACGGACUCGUGAAGGGUUUGUGUUCGGUAAAGGGUGGACUCGAGGUAUGGGGUUAGUUCAUUGACUACCUCCAUGCUUUUAAUAACGGAAUAAUGUUGUUUUUUGCAAUAAGGUGUUCCUUAAAGCUCUGCCCCAAAUUUCAUAGAGCUGCUUAAGCUGAGAAUAUUGCUUAACAAUUGUCUGCUAAGC